AUACGGAGGGGGUUAGCGUUGUUCGGAAUUACUGGGUGUAAAGCGCACGUAGGCGGACUGGAAAGUUGGGGGUGAAAUCCCGGGGCUCAACCCCGGAACUGCCUCCAAAACUUCCAAUCUAGAGAUCGAGAGAGGUGAGUGGAAUUCCAAGUGUAGAGGUGAAAUUCGUAGAUAUUAGGAGGAACACCAGUGGCGAAGGCGGCUCACUGGCUCGAUACUGACGCUGAGGUACGAAAGCGUGGGGAGCAAACAGGAUUAGAAACCCCAGUAGUCC
rnacentral:rRNA from 1 species